rnacentral:rRNA from 1 species
GUAGGUGGCAAGCGUUGUCCGGGAAUUAUUGGGGCGUAAAGCGCGCGCAGGCGGUUCUUUAAGGUCUGUUGUGAAAGCCCACGGGCUCAACCGUGGAGGGUCAUUGGAAACUGGAGAACUUGAGUACAGAAGAGGAAAGCGGAAUUCCACGUGUAGCGGUGAAAUGCGUAGAGAUGUGGAGGAACACCAGUGGCGAAGGCGGCUUUCUGGUCUGCAACUGACGCUGAGGCGCGAAAGCGUGGGGAGCAAACAGGAUUAGAUACCCUGGUAGUCCACGCCGUAAACGAUGAGUGCUAAGUGUUAGGGGGUUUCCGCCCCUUAGUGCUGCAGCUAACGCAUUAAGCACUCCGCCUGGGGAGUACGGCCGCAAAGGCUG